AGUGGCGGACGGGUGAGUAACGCGUAAGAAUCUAACUUCAGGACGGGGACAACAGUUGGAAACGACUGCUAAUACCCGAUGUGCCGGGAGGUGAAACCUAAUUGGCCUGAAGAAGAGCUUGCGUCUGAUUAGCUAGUUGGUGGGGUAAGAGCCUACCAAGGCGACGAUCAGUAGCUGGUCUGAGAGGGUGAGCAGCCACACUGGGACUGAGACACGGCCCAGACUCCUACGGGAGGCAGCAGUGGGGAAUUUUCCGCAAUGGGCGAAAGCCUGACGGAGCAACGCCGCGUGAGGGAGGAAGGUCUUUGGAUUGUAAACCUCUUUUCUCAAGGAAGAAGUUCUGACGGUACUUGAGGAAUCAGCCUCGGCUAACUCCGUGCCAGCAGCCGCGGUAAUACGGGGGAGGCAAGCGUUAUCCGGAAUUAUUGGGCGUAAAGCGUCCGCAGGUGGUCAGCCAAGUCUGCUGUCAAAUCAGGUUGCUUAACGACCUAAAGGCGGUGGAAACUGGCAGACUAGAGAGCAGUAGGGGUAGCAGGAAUUCCCAGUGUAGCGGUGAAAUGCGUAGAGAUUGGGAAGAACAUCGGUGGCGAAAGCGUGCUACUGGGCUGUAUCUGACACUCAGGGACGAAAGCUAGGGGAGCGAAAGGGAUUAGAUACCCCUGUAGUCCUAGCCGUAAACGAUGGAUACUAGGCGUGGCUU
rnacentral:rRNA from 1 species